GUAGGGAAUAUUGGGCAAUGGGUGGAAGCCUGACCCAGCCAUCCCGCGUGCCGGAAGAAUGCCCUCAGGGUUGUAAACGGGUUUUGACGGGGAAGAACGGUACCUUUGCGAAGGUAAUUGACGGUACCCGUUGAAUAAGCACCGGCUAACUCCGUGCCAGCAGCCGCGGUAAUACGGAGGGUGCGAGCGUUGUCCGGUUUUAUUGGGUUUAAAGGGUGCGUAGGCGGGAUUAUAAGUCAGUGGGGAAAGACUUACGCUCAACGUAAGCAGUGCCAUAGGAACUGUAGUUCUUGGAUAAGGAGGAGGUUGCCAGAACGGAUGGUUUAGCGGUGAAAUGCAUAGAUACCAUCAGGAACACCGAUAGCGAAGGCAUUGUACUGGCCGACAACUGACGCUGAUGCACGAAAGUGUGGGGAUCGAACAGGAUUAGAUACCCCAGUAGUCC
rnacentral:rRNA from 1 species